UGACGGUAUCAUAUGAAUAAGCACCGGCUAACUCCGUGCCAGCAGCCGCGGUAAUACGGGGGGUGCAAGCGUUACUCGGAAUCACUGGGCGUAAAGAGCAUGUAGGCGGGUGAAUAAGUUGGAAGUGAAAUCCUAUAGCUUAACUAUAGAACUGCUUCCAAAACUGUUCACCUAGAGUAUGGGAGAGGUAGAUGGAAUUUCUGGUGUAGGGGUAAAAUCCGUAGAGAUCAGAAGGAAUACCGAUUGCGAAGGCGAUCUACUGGAACAUUACUGACGCUCAGAUGCGAAAGCGUGGGGAGCAAACAGGAUUAGAUACCCUGGUAGUCCACGCCCUAAACGAUGUACACUAGUUGUUGCUAUACUAGAUAUGGCAGUAAUGUAGUUAACACUUUAAGUGUACCGCCUGGGGGAGUACGGUCGCAAGAUUAAAACUCAAAGGAAUAGACGGGGACCCGCACAAGCGGUGGAGCAUGUGGGUUUAAUUCGACGAUACGCGAAAAACCUUACCUGGCCUUGACAUAGUAGGAAUCUUUAAGAAGAUUAGAAGAGUGCUAGCUUGCUAGAACCUACAUACAGGUGCUGCACGGCUGUCGUCAGC
rnacentral:rRNA from 1 species